ACCUCGGAUCAGGUAGGGAUA
rnacentral:rRNA from 1 species